rnacentral:rRNA from 1 species
GACGAACGCUGGCGGCGUGCUUAACACAUGCAAGUCGAACGGAAAGGCCCUGCUUUUGUGGGGUGCUCGAGUGGCGAACGGGUGAGUAACACGUGAGUAACCUGCCCUUGACUUUGGGAUAACUUCAGGAAACUGGGGCUAAUACCGGAGAGGAGCUCCUGCUGCAUGGUGGGGGUUGGAAAGUUUCGGCGGUUGGGGAUGGACUCGCGGCUUAUCAGCUUGUUGGUGGGGUAGUGGCUUACCAAGGCUUUGACGGGUAGCCGGCCUGAGAGGGUGACCGGCCACCAUGGGACUGCGAUACGGCCCAGACUCCUACGGGAGGCAGCAGUGGAGAAUAUUGCACAAUGGGCGGAAGCCUGAUGCAGCAACGCCGCGUGCGGGAUGACGGCCUUCGGGUUGUAAACCGCUUUCGCCUGUGACGAAGCGUGAGUGACGGUAAUGGGUAAAGAAGCACCGGCUAACUACGUG